GGCCACACGUUGGACCAGUGCACGAGCGAAAGAGGGAGAAAGGAGAGGAAAGAGUGGGAGUAAGCAUAAAACAAAAGAGAGAGGGGGGAAAAAGCACGUCACGAAAAAGAGAGUGAAAAAAAAACACUUUAUCCUUUAGCAGAGUGACCGAUCGUAGCGCGUCAUUCGCUGUCCACUUCGUUUCAAUCUCCCAAAUUUUUUUUUGUUCAUUUGUUCUAUAGAUCUAGAUCUAUUGGUUUACAAAAGGCUCAUAAUAAUAUUAUUAAUUGGACCCUACGUCUUAUGAAAGUGAUAGGGGACAGGUUUCUUUCUUUUAAAAAGUGCAGAAACUUGUUUGUGUGUAAAUAAGAAAUAAAACUUGCAGGUGUACAGUAUAAUUAAUUACUGCCAUCUUAUUUCUUUUUCUUAUUCUGCUUGUGGAGGAGAUCAUUGGAUAUGAUACCUAUGGAAUAAUAAUAUAAUCUUAUAAGAUUUCAUUAGAAUUACUCAACAUCAGUUUUUCUGUGCCGUGUUUUCAUCAUUUGAAUUUUUUCUGAUGAUAUAUUAAACGGUUGGAAAUAGCGGAGAUGCGUGGUGGUAUGAAGGGAAUACAGUGAUGACUUCAACUACGACAUAGGCUUUGAAAAUAUUUAGAAAGCAGCCCAGAAUGAACAUACCAAACUGUACAGAGGAAGGAUUCUGUUGACAAAGUGAACGUCACAGACAAGGAAAUAAAUAAGCUCUGCAGACUCGGAUUUUUUUUAUGGUUUAACAGGCACGUGAUCAUCAAACAUCUAAGCCACUAAUAAGCUCAAGUAGUCUUCAAUAGAACCAAGCCUCCAUCAAGCCUCUUUCAGCCAAUCAAUCAGGGGCAGCACAGAAGUCAAAGUACUCUGACAUUGGUCUCGACAUUAUUCGACAACUGUGUAAAAAAAAAAAACGCCGUGUUGCAAAGUCACGUGACGAGGGUCUAAAUCUAGUCGGCACGUGCCCCAGCACGUUAAAAAAAAAUUCAAAUAUAGUUUCAGGUCUGGGUAGCCAUUACGGAGAAUAAUUGUGAUGCUAGAGACACA